GUGGAUUGGCAACCGGGAGUACCGGGAGGUUUCCCGGUGGGCCGACCAAAAAUGGGCCAAUGAACGACCGUUUAUUUACUUAUUGCUGCGCUUUACUGUUACCUCUAUUAAACGGGAAAAAAAUACCUUCCAGGUGCUAAGACCAAGCGGAUAACACUCUUUCAGUAUCUUGCUAACCUGUAAUUGCCCGUGCCUGCUGUCACUCCAUGGGCGCUUGGGCGUUCUCCACCGUGUCUUGCUAGCUGGCCAGGACUUCGUGUUCAUCUCACUCUCUAAGCAGUAUCAUGGUGACUUGCUCGAUGGACAGUUGUCCGCCUGGUCCAGCUGGUCUGGGGGAUCUUUUCCAGUUUAUUUUGGCAGAUUUCAAGGCCAUGUGACUCGGCUCCACGCUCACCUGGUUCCCCGACGCCUGCAGCAGCACAAGCAACACACAAACAAGACGAUGAGGAAGACGCCAGCCAACACUGACAGAGUGAUGAUCAAAAUCUGGAAGUUUACUAGAAGUCAAAAGGCAGAUACAAAGAAAAUCAAGGUCACAGGUGAAGCCGAUACCUAUCCCAGCUGACUUUGGGAGAGAGGCGGGGUACACCCGGGGCCAUCUGCAUUUCAAGACAGACAUGUUCCCGGAAAAUAAGAAGCAAGCACAGGGAGAACAUGCAAACUCCAGAGAUGUUCCAACAGAGAUUCGAACCAAGACCAACAGAUGUGACUCGGCCUGUCACGGUAACAAAUUUUGCUGGACGAUAAUUGUCCGAUAAAAUAUUGCUGAUAAAUAUUUUCAACAUUUUGAGACCAUUUUGUUCAUUAAUGUAAUAAUACAAUUGCAAGAAUUGAUAUUUUGCACUGUUGGAUCUUAAGGAGGUUCUAAGUAGAGCUUCAAAUGCAAAAAGAAAUGGGAGUGAGAAUUUUUGGCAAUCAAGCAUUAAACUGAACUAGGCUGUUCAUCAGCUGAUCAAAAAAGUUUACAACCAUAGCUAAAAAACACAGAAACCCCCCUAAAAUAUAAAUAAAAUGUUCCAAAAAGGACUCAGUAAUGAGUAGCUCCGACAUUCUUGUUAAUCACCUAAAAAAUUGGUUUGAGCGUGCUUGAUGCCAGUGUUUCCAGGAGGCGAGUGGAAAUGUUGCUCCAGGUGGCGAAGAUGGCUUCCACAGAGGGUAUCCACUGUCUAGAACUGAUGUCCAAACUUCCCUUGCCACCCCCCAAAUGUUCUCAACUGGAAUCAAAUCGGGGGAACACACAGGAUGGUCCAAAAGAGUGACGUUAUUCCUCUUUGUCAAGCAGACAUUGUCAGCUGCAGUUGUCCUGUUGAAAACGCCAGUCAUUACCAGACAGACGAGGGCCUUCAGUCAUGAGAGUUGCCCCCUGCAACAUCUCCACAUUUCCAGCUGCCGUUUGACGCCCCUGCACAGCCUGACGCUCCACUGUUCCAUUGAAGGAAAAAUCAUCCCAGAUCAU